rnacentral:lncRNA from 1 species
CCAAUAGCGCAACCAUGAUUUUUUAAAAGCAGGGGGUGCCACUUGGCCUGCAAUUCAUAUUGCGGCUGUUGUCUUCUCUUUGAUCUUGUCUCCUGUAUCAUCAAUUGUUUGAAAUUUAUGUAGUUUCCUCCUCCUUUUUUGGGAGCUUCACAUUCAAUUGCAGUAUCCGACACCCAGCUAGAUAGGUCCAGGGUAACGCAAUGAAGUUACGGUUGUCAUCAGAACUGUAGGUACUUAGUGUGCCUGUCCAAUUUCCAACCUGUGAUUGACCCCAUAACAAGAGCAAUAGUGUUAUUCCAUGUCAACUCAACCAGUGAAUUUUCAUGACCAUCUUCGAUCAUUUUGAUGAAACUUGGUGAGCAUAAUGAUCCGUAUAAUGGGCCUGAGUGAACUAAGUUAAUAGUUCCUAUUUCUUUGAUUCAAUUGUUAAACUAGUGAGUGUAAUGCUGUCAACCACUGUAAAUGUGUUGCAAUUAUUGCAACUUUGCCCCCCUUUAAAGUCAGUGAAUUAAUAAUAUCCUGUAGUAUAUCUUAGUCCAAAAAUUUUAAGAUUCAUCCUCUAUCUUUUAAUUUCUUCUAUCAUCCUAUAAUUUUCUUCUUUUACAGGGCAAAAGUAGACACGGCUUCAUAUGAAAUUUUCUUGUGAUGAAACAUGUUUCCUAUUUGAUAUGCUCAAUGUACGGUCGCCCGCUCGUUGAAUCUCUACCGUCAAAAUUAAUAUUUGAUCAGGCCACUCUCUGCAGUCCCGGAAUGAAUUACAUUAAAUAGAAUGAACACAAUUACAGUGCUGCCCUCUGGUUAUGAUUUUACUGCUGCCCAAAGGAAGAAAAUCUAGUCAUUAAAGUGUACGUAAUUUUCCAAUUAUCCACUAUUUUCAGUCUACUUUCAUGCAUUUAUGAUGCCUAACGCAGACAUCACGAAAACAUUAUGACCUCCUUGCUCUGAGGUUUAUGUUUGUUGAAUCAUUCUGUAAAAUUAAAUCGGGACUACCAGCGGCAUUGAUGAAAUUUCAUCUACUAGCCACCUACCUUUGCUCGUGGACGAGUAUCUCAGUCUGCAGUUUGUUGAUUUGAAAAGAAGUGUCACAACCAGAUACUUGUGACACGCACGACAUGCUUCCAUCUUGUAGACCAAUUUGUAGACCACCAAGUUUGUGAUGCUGAAGAGUCUGACCAUUCCAUGUCUGAAUCCUCAUUAUGAAAACAUUGAGAGCCUUGUAACAAAGCCAAGGAGCUCCUAAAAUGAAAGAAUUAAGGGA